UUAAGUCGGAUGUGAAAUCCCCGAGCUUAACUUGGGAAUUGCAUUCGAUACUGGGAAGCUAGAGUAUGGGAGAGGAUGGUAGAAUUCCAGGUGUAGCGGUGAAAUGCGUAGAGAUCUGGAGGAAUACCGAUGGCGAAGGCAGCCAUCUGGCCUAAUACUGACGCUGAGGUACGAAAGCAUGGGGAGCAAACAGGAUUAGAUACCCUGGUAGUCCAUGCCGUAAACGAUGUCUACUAGCCGUUGGGGCCUUUGAGGCUUUAGUGGCGCAGCUAACGCGAUAAGUAGACCGCCUGGGGAGUACGGUCGCAAGACUAAAACUCAAAUGAAUUGACGGGGGCCCGCACAAGCGGUGGAGCAUGUGGUUUAAUUCGAUGCAACGCGAAGAACCUUACCUGGCCUUGACAUACUAGAAACUUUCCAGAGAUGGAUUGGUGCCUUCGGGAAUCUAGAUACAGGUGCUGCAUGGCUGUCGUCAGCUCGUGUCGUGAGAUGUUGGGUUAAGUCCCGCAACGAGCGCAACCCUUUUCCUUACUUGCCAGCAUUUCGGAUGGGAACUUUAAGGAUACUGCCAGUGACAAACUGGAGGAAGGCGGGGACGACGUCAAGUCAUCAUGGCCCUUACGGCCAGGGCUACACACGUGCUACAAUGGUCGGUACAAAGGGUUGCUACACAGCGAUGUGAUGCUAAUCUCAAAAAGCCGAUCGUAGUCCGGAUUGGAGUCUGCAACUCGACUCC
rnacentral:rRNA from 1 species